UCCUGCGCUGGUCGGGUAACGGCAGCGGCGCGAGUCACCAACCUGGGACUGUGGGGAUCUACACCAGGCAGAGCGGCGAAGGCAGCACUCUGGAUCAAAAGGCUGGCCGCGU
rnacentral:ncRNA from 1 species